AUGUCUGACCUUUCCACCAAGGCCUCACUCUAUCCACCCCCUGAGGCCUCAUCUGACCAUUUCAUCAAGGCCUCAGAGCCCUCUCCCACCCCCAAGGCUCCAGAACCCUCCCCCUUCCUCAUAGCUCUAGAGCCCUCCCCCUCCCCGAAGGCUCCAGAACCAUCCUCCCUGCCCAAGGCUCCAAAGUCCUCCCCCUUCCCCAUGGCUCCAGAGCCCUCCAUCUCCCCCAAGGCACCAGAGCCUUCCCCCUUCCCCGAGGUUCCAGAACCCUCCCUGCUCUCCAAGGCUGCAGAGCUCUCUACCUCUUCCAAGGUGCCAGGGCCUUCUCCCUCCCCUAAGGCUCCAGAACCUUCCCCCUCCCCCAGGGAUCCAGGACUCUCCCCCUUCCUCAAGGAACCAGAGUCCUCCACCAUCCUAAAGGCUCCAGAGCGCUCUGGACCCACUAAAGCCACACCUGAACAGCCAGACAAAGCCUCACCUAAAGGCUUCAUGAAAUGGCUAUUUUACCCAUUUUACCCAUUUAUCAAAGCCUCCUCCAAACACCCUAAAAAAUCCUCAUUCCAUCCAACUACCAAGGCCUCACCUCACCGUGUCAUCAAGGCCCCACAGCCCUCCCCCUCUCCCAAGGCCCCACAGCCCUCCCCCUCUCCCAAGGCUCCAGAGCCCUCCCCCUCCCCCAAGGCUCCAGAACCCUCCCUCUCCCCCAAGGCUCCAGAGCCUUCACCCUCUCCCAAGGCUCCAGAACCCUCCCCCUCUCCCAAGGCUCCAGAACCCUCCCUCUCCCCCAAGGCUCCAGAGCCUUCCCCCUUUCCCAAGGCUCUAAGGCCCUCCCCUUCUCCCAAGGCUUCAGAACUCUCCCCCUUCCCCAAGGCUCUAAGGCCCUCCCCCUCCCCCAAGGCCCCAGAACCUUCCACCUCUCCCAAGGCUCCAGAACCCUCCCACUUCCCCAAGGCUCCAAGGCCCUCCCCCUUCCCCAAGGCUCUAAGGCCCUCCCCCUCUCCCAAGGGCCCAGAACCCUCCCCUUCUCCCAAGGCCCCAGAACUCUCCCCCUUCCCCAAGGCUCUAAGGCCCUCCCCCUUCCCCAAGGCCCCAGAACCUUCCACCUCUCCCAAGGCUCCAGAACUUUCCCCCUUCCCCAAGGCUCCAAAGCCUUCUGGCCUCACUAAGGCCACACCUGAACAGUCAGCUAAAGCCUUACCCAAACACUCCAAGAAAUCCUCAUUCCAUCCAACUACCAAGGCCUCAUCUCACCAGUCUACCAAGGACUUAGCAGCACACCCUAUUAAGGCCUCAGCCGACAAGGAUGUCAAGUCCACAGACACUUCACUCUCCAGUUACUACUCAAAGAAGACCUCACUCUCCUGGUCCCCCAGAGCCUUACCCAAACACUCCAAGAAAUCCUCAUUCCAUUCAACUACCAAGGCCUCACCUCACCAUUUCAUCAAGGCCCCAGUACCCUCCCCCUUCCCCAAGGGCCCACAACCCUCCCCCUCUCCCAAGGCUCCAGAACCUUCCCCCUCUCCUAAGGCUCCAGAACCCUCCCCCUUUCCCAAGGCUCCAGAACCUUCCCUCUUCCCCAAGGGCCCAGGGCCCUCCCCCAAGGCUCCAAAGCCCUACCCCUACCCCAAGGGCCCAGAGCCUUCCCCCUCCCCCAAGGCUCCAGAACCCUCCCUCUCCCCCAAGGCUCCAGAACCCCCUUACUUCCCCAAGGGCCCAGAGCCUUCCCCCUCCCCCAAGGCUCCAGAACCCUCUGGACCCACUAAGGCCACACCUGAACAGUCAGCCAAAGCCUCACCUAAAGGCUUCAAGAAGUGGGUGUUUUACCCAUUUACCAAAGCCUCCUCCAAACGAUCCAAGAAAUCCUCAUUCCAUCCAACUACCAAGGCCUCACCUGACCAUUUCAUCAAGACCCCAGAGCCCGAGCCCUCUCCCAAGGCCUCAGAGCCCUCCCCCUCCCCCAAGGCUCCAGAACCCUCCCUCUCCCCCAAGGCUCCAGAACCCUCCCUCUCCCCCAAGGCUCCAGAGCCUUCCCCCUCUCCCAAGGCUCCAGAACCCUCCCGCUCUCCCAAGUCUCCAGAACCCUCCCCCUUCCCCAAGGCCCCAAGGCCCUCCCCCUUCCCCAAGGCUCUAAGGCCCUCCCCCUCUCCCAAGGGCCCAGAACCCUCCUCCUCUCCCAAGGCUUCAGAACUCUCCCACUUCCCCAAGGCUCCAGAACCCUCCCCCUUCCCCAAGGCCCCAGAGCCCUCCCCCUUCCCCAAGGCCCCAGAGACCUCCCCCUUCCCCAAGGCUCCAAAGCCUUCUGGCCUCACUAAGGCCACACCUGAACAGUCAGCUAAAGCCUUACCCAAACACUCCAAGAAAUCCUCAUUCCAUCCAACUACCAAGGCCUCAUCUCACCAUUUCAUCAAGGCCCCAGUACCCUCCCCCUUCCCCAAGGGCCCAGAACGCUCCUCCUCUCCCAAGGCUCCAGAACCUUCCCUCUUCCCCAAGGGCCCAGGGCCCUCCACCUUCCUAAAGGCUCCAGAGCCCUCUGGCCCCACUAAGGCCACACCUGAACAGUCAGACAAAGCCUCACUCAAACACUCCAAGAAAUCCUCAUUCCAUCCAACUACCAAGGCCUCAUCUCACCAGUCUACCAAGGACUUAGCAGCACACCCUAUUAAGGCCUCAGCCGACCAGGAUGUCAAGUCCACAGACACUUCACUCUCCAGUUCCUCCCUUGGGUCCGCUGUUGUCUCACUCAUGCUGUCCACUCCAUACUCCAGCAGUCACUCAUAG
rnacentral:lncRNA from 1 species